rnacentral:rRNA from 1 species
UACGUAGGGUGCGAGCGUUGUCCGGAAUUAUUGGGCGUAAAGAGCUCGUAGGCGGCUUGUUGCGUCUGCCGUGAAAAUUCACAGCUUAACUGUGGACGUGCGGUGGAUACGGGCAGGCUAGAGGUAGGUAGGGGAGAAUGGAAUUCCCGGUGUAGCGGUGAAAUGCGCAGAUAUCAGGAGGAACACCGGUGGCGAAGGCGGGUCUCUGGGCCGAUAUUGACGCUGAGGAGCGAAAGCGUGGGGAGCGAACAGG